UACGUAGGGGGCAAGCGUUGUCCGGAAUCAUUGGGCGUAAAGAGCGCGUAGGCGGCCCUGUAAGUCCGCUGUGAAAGUCAAGGGCUCAACCCUUGGAUGCCGGUGGAUACUGCAGGGCUAGAGUCCGGAAGAGGCGAGUGGAAUUCCUGGUGUAGCGGUGAAAUGCGUUGAUAUCCACAGGAACUCCGGUGGCGAAGGCGGCGUGCUGGACCACGUCUGACGCUGAGGCGCGAAAGCCAGGGGAGCAAACGGG
rnacentral:rRNA from 1 species